CUUUCCUUCCCCCCCCUGGCCGCAGAACGGCUCCCCGGCGGGCGGUGCGCGCGGCUUUCCCUGAGGCGCAGGGCGGGAGCGGAGCCGCUUCCUUUGGGCUGGAGCGGCCCCGGGGAGGAAGCGGGGGUGGGGGCGUGUGGGGCCGCACUGUGCUGGUCUCCAGGGGUGCCUUGUGGGGCGGGACAGGGAUUUCCCCCGAUGCCCGCAGGUGUUUCAAGCCCAGCGCCCGUCGGCACUCGCUCUCCGCGGCCGGUGCUGGCUCUGUCCUUUCAAAUUGCGUUUCUUGUUGCAUUUCUAGUCAGUCUUCCCUGCAGCAGCCGGGAUUUUUCACCAUUUUUCAGGGAGGUUCCCAGAAUCAUUAGGGACCUCUGGAGAUCAGCCAGUCCAACCCCUCUGCCAAGGCAGGGUCAUCUGGAGCAGGUGACACAGGAACGUGUCCAGAACAGUCAAGAGUGGAAAUGUUUCACAUAAUCAAUGAUUUCACUGAAGCUUUGACAGCAUUAUCAAGUACUUUUAAUACUUUUUGAUUUUAUAUGAAUCCCAUAAAACAUCCAAACACCAGGAUGUAAACAAAAGACUUCAAGAAGCUUAGUUUUGAUAUUUCUAUCACAUUCCAAAUUUGGAGUGAAAGGAGAUGUGAAAUAAUCAGCUCUCCCAAGAAAAUGUGACACCUCACACAGCUCUGACCAUUCUUGCAUAAGUCUCAAGGAUCUCUGUUGAUGGACAAGUCUCCUCCUGCUCUCAGUGAUGCUGCAAAUCAUCCAGCACACCUGUCACAAAGGGAAUUCUCAUUCCCAUCCUACUGGAUGCUCAGGGUCACCUUCCAGGGCAGCAGCACCAAUUGCCAAUACCAUCUUUUGGGAGAGUAUUUUCUGAAGCACACUGAUGGAAAGGCAAAGGUCUUCUGUUACUGCUCAAGUAAGCUGGACACAUCUCUGACAAGUGGGUAGGCCUUACCUUCAUCUUUUAGAAGAGAAAAGAAAAGGCACAUGCAAACUGUUUUCUUUUGAAGAGAACAUAGAUGUAGAAGAAAUGAGAGAGUUCUUGUUAAAAGAGAGCUCUCUCACAUUGCACUAGUGUCUUAGGUUGCAAUGCAAGAUGUAACUGAAAGUAUGUAUUCUAUUACCAUCUGUUAAAACCAGGUAGGGCAGUGCUCUUUGUCUUCCCCACCAUCCUCCCUCCAGGGGGAUAUCUUCUGUUAAUGGGCCAUUGAGUGUCACUGCAUGACUGAUAAAAUCACAUCAUCCCAUUGUGAGAUGCUCUGCCCAGGGGGAAGAGCCAAGCAUUCCUACCUGGAUAUAACCUGAGAUUUAGAACACCACCAUCAGCCUUUUCCACUGGAUUCCCAGAGGAAUCUGGACCAGGGGUCUGCACCACCACUGGACUUUCAGAGGAGAACUGUACCCUGAUUCUGCAGGAUCCCUGCUUCAACAGAACCACAUUUGUCACUGCAGGAGGACUACAGCCACCAUUUAAUGGGACUGCUACCAACACCUUGACCAGGUUAUAUUCUGACUCUGUCAGUAGGGGUUUUUUUGUUUGGUUGUUUUUUUGUACUACUGCCUUUUUAUUUUAAUUUUCCUAGUAAAGAACUGUUAUUCCUUUUCCCA